AUAGUGUAGAGGGCAACCACAAGGGAUUUAGUUUAGCCGUGUUGCAAUUACUAAACCGAAUAUUUGGAAUAAGUGAUUCGCAAAAUAUGACUAAAAUGGAUAAAAGCGAGCGGAUUAGUAAUAUGGACGCACUGCUUUUUGCUCUGGCGCUGGAAGUGACUCUAUUGCAGCUUCGGAUACAAGAGGGCAGCUCCGAGCUUCGCAGUCGGUACUGGAGCUACUGCGACGGACGCGAGAAGGCGCAACACAAAAAGCUCGUUUUAGAUCG